rnacentral:rRNA from 1 species
GUGUGGUGCGUGACGUGCUUGGGAUCGGAGGUUAGGAGACGGCCGUGUGGGGGUGAGGAGGGAGCGAGGUGACGUCGGCGGCGUGGAGAGAGAGGAGGCAAGCGAGAAGAGGGAGUAAGUGGUGUCGGUGUCGGGGUCCUCGAGGCAACAGGGACAGCUCCUCUAGGUACCGGAGGGCUGCACGAGUAGACGAGUCCAGCGCUCCUUCGGCCCCCUCCUCCUCUGGAGCAGCGCUCCCUCGACGCCCUCCUCCUCGAGUUGGGUUCUCCUCUCCUACGGUCGGUCCCUCAGCAGAACCGAGCUGCACCAGGAAGCGCAGAACUUGGAUCGUGGCAUCCGCCGAGCAAAUCACCGCGUCGCCUGCCGCCGGAGUCGCCCACCCACUGCCAUCGGCGUCGACCACGUACUGGAGCGUAGGACCCACGCACGAGCUAAUCGAGCGCAGAAGUACCAGAAGUCCACGCGUCCACUCAGGGGUUGGUAGAGUAAGUAAAAAGGAAACUCCUACGUUUACGCUCGUGAUCGACAAACAUUUUUACGAGUUCCUCUUGACGAGUCUCCUCCCGUCAUACACACUUUCAAUAAUCAACUAAGGAUAGUUUCUUUUCAUUUAUAUGAAAGUCACAAAAACAACCAAAGUAAACGCAUAUUAAUCUCAUUUGACGUGACCUAGGUGUAUGAAAGAGGUCGAGGGAACUUUUGAUUACAUAAACCGGGGGGUAAAAUGACAGUUAAACAUCAUACGAAAGAAUACGAACUCACCAGUUGUCUAAAAUCCAAACUCGUCGAUUAACAGUUUAAAUUUUCAUAUUACCUGUUCUAUUUAACACUAGAACGUAACAGAUGAGAUAACUACACCGAGAACUAAAGACUUCGAGGGUCCUAAAUUAUUCGACGGAACCCGAAGUAACCUGUUUACUAGAUGGACCUCGUUACUAUGUAUAACCGUAACUUCGGGCUACCGGAAAAAGAACGUGGUUAAGAAGAGAGCACACACGAGGUCACAACUAUUGGAAAACCCUGGUAAAAAAAGACAUUAACGAAUAUGUUUACACAUUAAUCAACGUGUCUGUAUGUAUGUAUGUACUAAGACGCUCCUUUAAUGAAAGAAACUAGACAAGAAAUAUUUACAAAAAAGUGACCGACAAAUUAUAUCUAUAAAGUAAAGAACGUAUUCGUAUAUACUAAGACACUCGUUUAAUAGAAGUGACAAGACAAAAUCUCUCUACAAACUAAUCGAUGUGUUGUAUGUAUCAAGACAAUCAUUAAACAAAAGGGACCAAUAGAACUAUAAGUCAAGACAACCAUUGGCAAACGUACCACCCAGUACAAUCGUUACCCAUAUUCCCAUAGGUCACGGGUCGGAAAUAUAAAAAUAGUCCACAUAAGUGGUGAUACGUACACAUAUACAACAACCGGAUUGACAUAUGUAAAACAACCACACUACUAAGUAGGAGAUUUUUAAAUAUAACAUAGGAGAACACGAUCUACAAACUCCAAACCGAAAUUUUUAUUCGAUAAAGAUUGCCUUCCAGUUACCCUCUUUUUCCGUCACAUAUGUAAAAUAAACCACGAAUAGACACUGGAACGCGUGAAUAGAAAUAUAUACGAGAAGAAGUAUCUAUAGAAGGACAGCCAAGAGAAUACUUCUAGAAAGGGAUAUAGACUAAAAUAUGGUAUAGUCCUUGGUACCACAGGGUGAUGUGAACUAGGCACUCGACAUACUCUGGAACGCGUUGAAGUUUUAAGUACAAAGUCUAAUACACGUGGCGUCUUUCUAUUGAAGGUGGUACUUACCUGCGAAAGGUCUACGAUGUCGUCUACUCGAAUUACACUCACUACAAUGUACAUAAUAGACAGCACUUCUCUACUGUUGUCGUUUCUUCGACGAAACACCCGUGAACAAGGUACACGUAACAGACUCCAGUACCGCUCUCGCGGUUGUAUGAACGGGGUGUACAUCUAGAGGGUAACGGGGGGCCUGUUACCUGCACUAGGUAGUCACGCUGUUGUACUUCGAGUUGAUCCUCAAUCGAACGACGUCCGUAACCACGAGGUCCAAGUCUUCCUCAUUGUUCGUUCUUGCACUUGUCCGCGGGGUGUUUUGAACUCCGGAUGAACUUGUCCGCGGGUUGUUUUGUCCAACAAUGUAGAGGUUUCUCCUAAGGUCGUCGUUUUGAAGUACCAGUCGAACUUACCUUCGGGAGCGAGUCCAGAAUGAGACGGAGCGGAUCGACGGUGAGAGAAGAUCUCACUAACACGGGGUGGUACGCGUUCCAUAAGUGGUUCUUGGUCUUCCACGAGAAACCUGUGGUACCCUACGAUUCCCGACGUUCUUUAUUUUAUCAUACAACGUAAAACGGAUGUCUAUAGUUCAGAAUCUCUUCCUUCAAAACAUACCGUCAGCUGAGCGACGAAGAGGCUAAGUCUAAGUGUCAAUUUAUAGGGUAAGAAGAAAAAAGUCGGGAACUGUAAAAGAGGAUGAACGAUUACGUCCUACCUUGUGAAGGACAAUGUACAUCAGAAGUCUUGGACACGACUUUACCGCGAAGAAACAAACCUUUCACAGACUAAAACGUUUUGAAAACCGACAUAGCUUAUUAAAAGUUCAACGAAGUCACUGUAGACAAGGACGAUUCUGCAAAAUUUACACUUGGAUUUAUGA